rnacentral:rRNA from 1 species
UACGUAGGGUGCAAGCGUUAAUCGGAAUUACUGGGCGUAAAGCGUGCGCAGGCGGUGAUGUAAGUCAGGUGUGAAAUCCCCGGGCUUAACCUGGGAACUGCAUUUGUGACUGGCGGGCUAGAGUAUGGCAGAGGGGGGUAGAAUUCCACGUGUAGCAGUGAAAUGCGUAGAGAUGUGGAGGAAUACCGAUGGCGAAGGCAGCCCCCUGGGCCAAUACUGACGCUCAUGCACGAAAGCGUGGGGAGCAAACAGG